rnacentral:rRNA from 1 species
GACGAACGCUGGCGGCGUGCCUAAUACAUGCAAGUUGAGCGCUGAAGGUUGGUACUUGUACCAACUGGAUGAGCAGCGAACGGGUGAGUAACGCGUGGGGAAUCUGCCUUUGAGCGGGGGACAACAUUUGGAAACGAAUGCUAAUACCGCAUAAAAACUUUAAACACAAGUUUUAAGUUUGAAAGAUGCAAUUGCAUCACUCAAAGAUGAUCCCGCGUUGUAUUAGCUAGUUGGUGAGGUAAAGGCUCACCAAGGCGAUGAUACAUAGCCGACCUGAGAGGGUGAUCGGCCACAUUGGGACUGAGACACGGCCCAAACUCCUAAGGGAGGGAGCAGUAGGGAAUCUUAGGCAAUGGACGAAAGUCUGACCGAGCAACGCCGCGUGAGUGAAGAAGGUUUUCGGAUCGUAAAACUCGGUUGGUAGAGAAGAACGUUGGUGAGAGUGGAAAGCUCAUAAAGUGACGGUAACUACACAGAAAGGGACGGCUAACUACGUG